rnacentral:rRNA from 1 species
UACGUAGGGGGCUAGCGUUGCUCGGAAUGACUGGGCGUAAAGGGCGCGUAGGCGGACAGCUUUGUCGGACGUGAAAUUCCAGGGCUUAACCUUGGGGCUGCGUUCGAGACGGGUUGUCUUGAGUUCGGAAGAGGGUCGUGGAAUUCCCAGUGUAGAGGUGAAAUUCGUAGAUAUUGGGAAGAACACCGGUGGCGAAGGCGGCGACCUGGUCCGUGACUGACGCUGAGGCGCGAAAGCGUGGGGAGCAAACAGG